CCGGCCUAGCUCAAUUGGUAGAGCAACUGACUUGUAAUCAGUAGGUUGGGGGUUCAAGUCCUCUGGCCGGCACCA
rnacentral:tRNA from 2 species